GGAUUCGAUCUCCAAUCCCUCCUACUAGGAUGGUUUGGCUUCUCGACGAUGUCUACGACACGAAACACCGGGCCUACAUGAUGCGCGAGAAGGAGAUGAAGCUUGAACC